rnacentral:rRNA from 1 species
UACGUAGGGUGCGAGCGUUGUCCGGAAUUAUUGGGCGUAAAGAGCUUGUAGGCGGUUUGUCGCGUCUGCUGUGAAAAUCCGGGGCUCAACCCCGGACUUGCAGUGGGUACGGGCAGACUAGAGUGUGGUAGGGGAGAUCGGAAUUCCUGGUGUAGCGGUGAAAUGCGCAGAUAUCAGGAGGAACACCGGUGGCGAAGGCGGAUCUCUGGGCCGUAACUGACGCUGAGGAGCGAAAGCAUGGGGAGCGAACAGG